rnacentral:rRNA from 1 species
CCUACGGGAGGCAGCAGUGGGGAAUAUUGCGCAAUGGGCGAAAGCCUGACGCAGCGACGCCGCGUGAGGGAUGAAGGCCUUCGGGUUGUAAACCUCUUUCAGCAGGGACGAAAUCAGACGGUACCUGCAGAAGAAGCACCGGCCAACUACGUGCCAGCAGCCGCGGUAAUACGUAGGGUGCAAGCGUUGUCCGGAAUUAUUGGGCGUAAAGAGCUCGUAGGCGGUUUGUCGCGUCGGCUGUGAAAACUCGGGGCUCAACCCCGAGCCUGCAGUCGAUACGGGCAGACUAGAGUGCUGUAGGGGAGACUGGAAUUCCUGGUGUAGCGGUGAAAUGCGCAGAUAUCAGGAGGAACACCGGUGGCGAAGGCGGGUCUCUGGGCAGUAACUGACGCUGAGGAGCGAAAGCGUGGGGAGCAAACAGGAUUAGAUACCCUGGUAGUCCACGCCGUAAACGGUGGGUGCUAGGUGUAGGUCGUAUUCCACGCGAUCUGUGCCGCAGCUAACGCAUUAAGCACCCCGCCUGGGGAGUACGGCCGCAAGGCUAAAACUUAAAGUAGUAGUAGCGCGNGAGNGCGACGAGACACACGGAGGUAG